rnacentral:misc_RNA from 1 species
AACGCACGAGACCUGCGGACCUGCGGAGGGAUCAUUAGUGAACGCCCUCACGGGCUUAUAACUAUUCCAAACCUCUGUGAACCGUGCCCUUCGGGGCUAUUUUACAAACAUGGUGUAAUGAACGUCAUAUAUCAUAACAAAACAAAACUUUCACAACGGAUCUCU